ensembl:lncRNA
GGCGGGGGGCCCGGCCGGAGCAAGAGGGAGGCUCAGCGCCGGCUCCACCAACCAGGGCCCGCUCGCCCGUCCGCUUCACCAGGAUUGGCGAGCGUCUCAGCCAAUGGAGAAGCGACAAGAGCGGCGGAGCGUCGGCGCCGAGGGGCGGGGGAUUGCGGAGGAGGUGGCUCCCACCCUUGGUCCUCCGCCGCCGGGUCGCGAUGAGGCUUUGACCCGGCUCCCUUUCAGAGCGAAGGGACGUGUGAUAGCUAUCCACACCUGUUCCAGCUGUAACAGCAACUAAAAGUAACCCCGCCUUAUAUGAACUGCUGCUACACUGAGUUUGGCAUCCACUAUUAGCCCUUAAUCAUACUGUCCUGAGGUGUUUGGGAUUGUAUCAUGUAGGCCAGUCUUAGCUCUCUAAUUAGAUGGUCCUUGCUGCCUUCCAAGGAAUUUAUUCAGUCUGCACAAGCUGCUGGCUGCUCUGCUUGGCCGGGCCUGUGGUCAUCCACCCUGAGCGCUGGACACCCUCCAUUUCCUGCCAGGUGUUUCUGCCGCAGCUUCCUGAGGUGGUGCUGCACUUGCCCAGGGGGCCGCUUCCAACAUUCCCAAGGCUGCAGACUCUCUAGGAGCCCAAAGAGCCUUCUGCUCCCUCCAGACCUCCCAGCGCCAGUCUGUCUAUUUGCACAUGAAUUGGGGGAAAUGUUCCCCCUCCCUAAGGUUGAUCUCAGCCCCUGGAGCUGGGGUGAGCACCAAUACUAGGCUCUCUGCUUCCUUGCCCUGCUUUCACUUAGGAAUUCGCCUCGUUCAUUGCUUGCUCCUAGAACCUUCAAAAUGUUCCCCUUGAAGACACUUUUCCCCUUCUAAAUCACUCAGGCGGAUAAUUUGGAGGGAAAAAAAUGAGUCUUCUCUGACCCCACAUCUAUGCAAAUAGCUUAGAUCCGGCCAUACGUAUUUACUUGUACGUGAAUAUGUGAAAAUAUAUGAAUGUAUAUUUGAAAGUGUAAAACCAUAGUUACAAAUAUAGGCAUAUGAGUGAACAAACAGUUCAAAAAGGGACUCAAACACUAAGGGCUGUGCCCACUUUAUGAUUUUACCACUUGUUCCUGUUGGAAUUUUACUUUUACUGUGGUCCACUGCAUCCUUAUUAAUGUAGUUCCAGCUUACAACUAAUUCUGAAUGGGACACACUAUUUUGAUAUGUUUGGAAAGAUCUCCUUAUGCCUUUAAAUAUCGCCACUUUUUUAAACUUUGCCAAGGUCAUAAUGGAGUAAAAGUAUUUCAAAAAUACCAGAGCUUUAUUAUUAAUGUUAUUUUACAAGUUAAAUUAUACAUUAAGGGUCAAGUUGGAAAUGAUAAGAAAUGAUGGUACAAGAUUCAGUAACAAGCCAUGGUUGACAGAGAAAAGUGUAAGUGGGUGCUCAUCUUAUAUGUUUCACAUCCCUCUAUCCACUACAUCUUUUUUUGAAGUGAAAUCGAUAUUACUGCUUAUAUAGUAAGUAUAUAUCCCUUGACACAAACAUAUGUGACAUAUGAAUAAAUGGAAGAGGCGAUGAAGAUAUGUUAAAACAAACUUAUUCGGUCUUUCAGAGAACUCAUUAAAUUACUCUCACUUGGUUCUUAGGGUGGCUAAGCUUGAAAAAUCAGGCUCAAGAAAAUCUGUUGCCCAGGAAAAGAAUAUGUAAUUUAAGGCAAAAGAAUAAAAAAAUGGAGACAAAAUGUACUACAGCUCAUUUGUCUGGAACACAUGGGCUAUUUCAGGUGUGGGGAAAAGGGAGAGGGUGUGCAAGUCUACCUACAUCUUUCAUUUGCAGUGGCUUGGUUCCUGGCAUAAUCCAUACACUCAGCAGUGAGAGAUUGCAUGCUUAAUUACUUAAGAGACCCAGAGAAUAACGGCAAGAUCUUUAUUAACGGAGGUGUUUCUGGCCUCUUGUGCUUCUUUCUUUGAUAAGCUGAUUAUUGCUUUAUUGGUUCCAGUCUUGUCAGGACCAUGGACAGCUCCAUCACAGCGGGGAGUCUCUUCUCUGCCUCGUUCUUCUACUUGUAGGAUUUCAGAGGAAAACAGACCUGAAAGAUUAACUGUUUUCACACCGAGACUUUACAGAUGAGGAAAUGGAUGUUCAUAAAAGUUAAAUGACAUGUUCAAGUCACGUGCUUAAAUCUGAAAAGCAGUC